GUACUAUUGAAGAGUCCCACACUAGGACGAAACAGCUAGCUGUCCAGUAC
rnacentral:hammerhead_ribozyme from 1 species